rnacentral:rRNA from 1 species
UACGUAGGGUGCAAGCGUUAAUCGGAAUUACUGGGCGUAAAGAGCUCGUAGGCGGCUUGUCACGUCGGGUGUGAAAGCCCGGGGCUUAACCCCGGGUCUGCAUUCGAUACGGGCUGGCUAGAGUGUGGUAGGGGAGAUCGGAAUUCCUGGUGUAGCGGUGAAAUGCGCAGAUAUCAGGAGGAACACCAGUGGCGAAGGCGACUUUCUGGCCUGUUCUUGACGCUGAGGCGCGAAAGCUAGGGGAGCAAACGGG